rnacentral:rRNA from 1 species
AACAAACGCUGGCGGCGUGCCUAAUACAUGCAAGUCGAACGGGGAAAGCUUUCGGGUGAGUACUAGUGGCGCACGGGUGAGUAACGCGUGGAUAAUCUGCCUCAGGGUGGGGGAUAACUAGUCGAAAGAUUAGCUAAUACCGCAUAAGACCACAAGAACUGCGGUUCAAGAGGUCAAAGGUUUUUCGCUCUAAGAUGAGUCCGCUGAAGAUUAGCUAGUUGGUGAGGUAACGGCUCACCAAGGCAACGAUCUUUAACUGGUCUGAGAGAAUGAUCAGUCACACUGGAACUGAGACACGGUCCAGACUCCUACGGGAGGCAGCAGUAGGGAAUAUUGCACAAUGGAGGAAACUCUGAUGCAGCGACGCCGCGUGAGUGAUGAAGGCCUUCUGGUCGUAAAGCUCUGUCGCAGGGGAAUAACACAAUGAAUGUACCCUGUAAGAAAGGAUCGGCUAACUUCGUGCCAGCCGCCGCAGUAACAC